UUGGGAAUCUUGCACAAUGGGGGAAACCCUGAUGCAGCGACGCCGCGUGGAGGAUGAAGGGUUUAGGCCUGUAAACUCCUUUUUUCGGGAAAGACUUAGGACGGUACCCGAAGAAUAAGGACCGGCUAACUACGUGCCAGCAGCCGCGGUAAGACGUAGGGUCCAAGCGUUGUCCGGAUUUACUGGGCGUAAAGAGCGCGUAGGCGGCUCGUUAAGUGUAGAGUGAAAUCUCUGGGCUCACCCCAGAAACUGCUCUGCAUACUGGCGAGCUAGAGGGUCGAAGAGGUAUGUGGAAUUCCUGGUGUAGCGGUGAAAUGCGUUGAUAUCAGGAGGAACACCCAUGGCGAAGGCAGCAUACUGGUCGGCAUCUGACGCUGAGGCGCGAAAGCGUGGGUAGCAAACA
rnacentral:rRNA from 1 species